rnacentral:rRNA from 1 species
AGAGUUUGAUCCUGGCUCAGAACGAACGCUGGCGGCGUGCCUAACACAUGCAAGUCGAGCGCGAAUGGAGCAAUCCUAGUAGAGCGGCGCACGGGUGCGUAACACGUGGAUAAUCUGCCUGGGUGUCUGGGAUAACCAGUCGAAAGAUUGGCUAAUACCGGAUAAGCCCCCGGGAGCUUCGGCUCUUGAGGGAAAAGGUGGCCUCUGUAUACAAGCUAUCACAUCCAGAUGAGUCCGCGGCCCAUCAGCUAGUUGGCGGGGUAAUGGCCCACCAAGGCAACGACGGGUAGCUGGUCUGAGAGGACGAUCAGCCACACUGGAACUGAGACACGGUCCAGACUCCUACGGGAGGCAGCAGUGGGGAAUUUUGCGCAAUGGGCGAAAGCCUGACGCAGCAACGCCGCGUGUGUGAUGAAGGUCUUCGGAUUGUAAAGCACUUUCGACCGGGACGAAAACCCAUUGGCUAACAUCCAAUGGCUUGACGGUACCGGGAGAAGAAGCACCGGCUAACUCUGUGCCAGCAGCCGCGGUAAUACAGAGGGUGCAAGCGUUGUUCGGAAUUAUUGGGCGUAAAGCGCGUGUAGGCGGCUUUGCAAGUCGGGUGUGAAAGCCCUCAGCUCAACUGAGGAAGUGCGCCCGAAACUGCAGAGCUUGAGUGCCGGAGAGGGUGGCGGAAUUCCCCAAGUAGAGGUGAAAUUCGUAGAUAUGGGGAGGAACACCGGUGGCGAAGGCGGCCACCUGGACGGUAACUGACGCUGAGNNNCGAAAGCGUGGGGAGCAAACAGGAUUAGAUACCCUAGUAGUCC